CCUAAUCUAUGCUUCGUGAUACGGAUUAUAGCUAAACCAACAAUUAUCUAUAGCAUAGAUCCAACAAACGUAGUACGUAUCUCUUGAGCACAGAAAAUUGUUGGCUAUGUACAGGCGCUCGAUCUUUUUUUGGGCGCGAGUGUGGCUGUUCGUCUCAGCUCUUUCUCCUGUUUCACGGUCCCACGUCAUUUAUGGGGCUCAAUUCCACAAAAAAGGAUCAAAAACAAUCCCCACAUUAUUCGCCAUACAGCCAGCCAUUCCGCCCGAGACAACAUACGUAUAUAGCCACGAAGACGUAUUUUCUGUCUGAAACGAGUUCGUAUAGCAGUUUGGAUAGGUUAGAUUGAUAAUAUUUGGUUCCAUUCAGGGUGAUUCGUGGUUAUUCGUCACGCAAUACGCGGUUUGUGUACGUUUUGUGUAUAUAGAAGGUAUUACACGUACAUAUCGUUAGCCCCGGCAUCGAUUCCGAUACCGACGGUACGGUAGGCAAGCAGAAACUAUACUAUAGUAUCUACGUAGUAUACAAUUAGUUCAGGGAUGGACAAAGAUAUUCCAAUGUUGGCUUGUAUUUUACUGCCGUGCCAAAGUAUAUAUACUUGCAAUUGAAAGAUCAA
rnacentral:lncRNA from 1 species